AUGAGAUUUGGUUUAUGGUUCAUGGGAUUUGGUCCAUGAGGUUUGGUUUUGAUUCAUGGGAUUUGGUCCAUGAGGUUUGGUUUUGGUUCAUGGAAUUUGGUCCAUGAGAUUUGGUUUUGGUUCAUGGGAUUUGAUCCAUGAGGUUUGAUUUUGGCUCAUGGAAUUUGGUCCAUGAGGUUUGGUUUUGGCUCAUGGGAUUUGGUCCAUGAGGUUUGAUUUUGGUUCAUGGGAUAUGGUCCAUGAGGUUUAGUUGUGGCUCAUGGGAUUUGGUCCAUGAGGUUUGGUUGUGGUUCAUGGGAUUUGGUUCAUGAGGUUUGGUUUUGGCUCAUGGGAUUUGGUCCAUGAGGUUUGGUUUUGGCUCAUGGAAUUUGGUCCAUGAGGUUUGGUUUGGGUUCAUGGGAUUUGGUCCAAGAGAUUUGGUUGGUUCAUGGAAUUUGGUCCAUGAGGUUUAGUUGUGGCUCAUGGGAUUUGGUCCAUGAGGUUUGGUUUUGGUUCAUGGAAUUUGGUCCAUGAGAUUUGGUUUGUUCAUGGGAUUUGGUCCAUGAGAUUUGUUUGGUUCAUGGGAUUUGGUCCAUGAGAUUUGGUUUAUGGUUCAGGGGAUUUGGUCCAUGAGGUUUGGUUUAUGGUUCAUGGGAUUUGGUCCAUGAGGUUUGGUUUUGGUUCAUGGCAUUUGGUCAAUGAGGUUUGGUUUUGGUUCAUGGGAUUUGGUCCAUGAGGUUUGGUUUUGUCUCAUAGGAUUUGAUCCAUGAGGUUUGGUUUUGGUUCAUGGCAUUUGGUCCAUGAGGUUUGGUUUGGUAUGGUUUGGAUUUGAUUCUUGUUUGUGUCCUUCAUGUGGACUUAGUUUGGGUUAGGUUUGGGUUUGAUUUGUGGACUUGGUUUGGUUUGGAUUUGGGUUUAUUUGGGUUCAAGUUUGGAUUUAUUUGUAGGUUUAUUUGUGGACUUGGUUUGGUUUGGAUUUGGGUUUAUUUGCGUUCAAGUUUGGGUUUAUUUGGACUUGGUUUGGGUUAGGUUCGUAUGUGAACUUGGUUUAGGUUAGGUUUGGGUGUGGACUUGAUUUGGUUUUGGGUUCGGGUUUAUUUAUGGAAUGGGUUUGGGUUCUUUAUGUGGACUUGGUUUGGGUUAGGUUUGGGUUUGAUUUGAUUUGGAUUUAUUUGUGGACUGUAUUUGGUUUGGGUUUGGGUCCGAUUUGGGUUUUGGUUUGGAUGUUUAUUUAGACUUGAUUUGGUUAUGUUUGGCUUUGUAUGUGGGCUUGGUUUGGUUUGGGUCUAUUUGGGUUUUGGGUUGGCGGUUUAUUUGGACUUGGUUUGGUUAGGUUUGGCUUUGUAUGUGGACUUGGUUUGGUUUGGGUUUAUUUGGGUUUUGGGUUCGAGUUUGGGUUUGAACUUGACUUGAUUUAGGUUUGUAGGUGAACUUGAUUUGCAAUUUGAUUUGUGGUCCGUAUGUGAACUUGAUUUGCAAUUUGGGUUCGCAUAUGAACUUAAUUUGCAGUUUGAGUUCGUGUGUAAACUUGAUUUGCAAUUUGAUUUGGGGUCCGAAGAAAUCCCUUUUUGAUUUUGCAAUUAGAUUUGGGGUCCGAAGAAAUCCCCUAUUGAUUUUGCAAUUGAAUUUGGGGUCCGAAGAAAUCCCCGUUUGAUUUGAAUUUGAAUUUGGGGUCCGAAGAAAUUCCCGUUUUGAUUUUCCAAUUUGAUUUGGAUUCGAAGUCCGAAGAAAUCCCCGUUUGAUUUGAAUUUGAAUUUGGGGUCCGAAAAAAUCCCCUAUUGAUUCUGAUUUGGGGUCCAAAGAAAUUCCCGUUUUGAUUCCAAUUUGGAUUUGAUUUUCAAAUUUGAUUUGGGGUCCAAAGAAAUCUCCGUUUGAUUCUCCAAUUGGAUUUGAUUUGGGGUCCGAAGAAAUUUCCUUUUGAUUUGCCAUUUGGGGUCCGAGGAAAUCCCCGUUUAGUUCUAAUUUGGGAUCCGAAGAAACAGGGAUCUUUGAUUCCCCUCCCCUCUUCUGGCGAUACUUCCUCGGCGAUGUUGUAGAUGUCGUCGGCGAAGUUGUUGACGGUGGCACGGAUCUGUUCGGCCAGCAAAUUUGAUUUGACAUUUUCAAAGAAAUAUUGAAGGGUCCUAAGAAAUGGGGAAUCAAAGAUUCCCCUCCCUUCUUCUUUCGAAAAGAUCAAAACGGCGAUUGUAGAUGUCGUCGACGGAGUUGUUAACAGUGGCAUGGAUUUGUUCGGCCGGCAAAUUUAGGUCGAUAUUUAUCAAAGAAAUGUUGAAGGGUCCGAAGAAACAGGGAAUCAAAGAUCCUCCUCCCCUCUUCUUUCGAAAGUAUCAAACCAAACAUGCUGGAGAUGGUCGCGGCAAUGUAGAUCAUCCAUUCCAUCAUCAACGACUUCGAAUGGGGUAUUGAGAGGUCCGAAGAAACGGGGAAUCGAAGAUUCCCCUCCACUCUCCCACCGAAGCCAUCUAAAUGAUAUGGAUGGCUACGAUCGCAGGACAAAAGAAAAAAAAGAAAAGAGGGGGAAGAAAAGAGAUCUUUUUUUGUUUUAUUAUUAUUUUUACUUUCUUUCUCUGUUUUUUUUUUUUUACCUGUUGAUCAAAUGAGGGAUUAGAUAAAGCAGCUCAACGAUUUCUCCUUCUUUCUGCGGUUUGGCGAUAUCUUCUCCUUUCAGCGGCUUGGGGAUGUCUCCUCCUUUCAGUAGCUCGGCAAUAUCUCCUCCUUUGAAUAUUUUGAACUUGGAAGUGUAUAACAAUCUAUCUAUCGUAUCGUCUCUGUCCAAAAGAAAAAAAUUCUCCCCGAGUUUGAUUUCGGUUCUCAUAUUUAUAAUGGGAGGGGUGGUGAGAGAUAUUUUGAGGGAUUCGAAAUUCGAAUUUGAAUUUUGAAUAGGUUGUUGGGGUUGGUUGAAAGAUAUUUGGGAUUUUGUUGAGAAUUCGAAAUUCGAAAUCGAAUUUUGAAUGGGUUGUUGGAUGGUUGGAGGGUAUUUUGGAAAUUGGUUGGAAUUCAAAAUUCGAAAUUUGAAUUUUGAAUGGGUUGUUGGAGGAUAUUUUGGGAAUUGGUUAGGAAUUCAAAAUUCGAAAUUUGAAUUUUGAAUGGGUUGUUGGAGGAUAUUUUGGAAAUUGGUUUGGGAAUUCGAAAUUCGAAAUCGAAUUUUGAAUGGGUUGUUGGAGGAUAUUUUGGUAGUUGGUUGGGAAUUCGAAAUUCAAAAUCGAAUUUUGAAUGGAUUGUUGGAGGAUAUUUUGGAAAUUGGUUGGGAAUUCGAAAUUCGAAAUCGAAUUUUGAAUGGGUUGUUGGAGGAUAUUUUGGGAAUUGGUUAGGGAUUCGAAAUUCGAAAUCGAAUUUUCAAUGGGUUGUUGGAUAAUUGAAGGAUAUUUUGGUGAGUCGGUUAGGGAUUCGAAAUUCGAAAUCGAAUUUUGAAUGGGUUGUUGGAUGGUUGAAGGAUAUUUUGGUGAGUUGGUUAGAGAUUCGAAAUUCGAAAUCAAAUUUUGAAUGGGUUGUUAGAUUGUUGAAGGAUAUUUUUGGGAGUCGGUUAGGGAUUCAAAAUUCGAAUGGAUGUUGGUUGGGGAUUCGAAAUUCAAAAUUGAAUUUUGAAUGGGUUGUGGGAUGGAUAGGUAUUCAAAAUUCGAAUGAUUGUUGGUUGAGAGAUAUUUUGGGCGUUGGUUCGAAGUUCGAAAUCGAAUUUCGAAUAGGGUUAUUAGGAUAACAGAUAUUUUCUGGGGGUUUAAAAAUUUAAAAUCGAAUUUGAAUAUGAUAUUCGAAAUUGAAUUUUCAAACGUGGGUGAAAAUGUGGGCCGUGAUUCCAUGAAUUGGGCUGAAAUUGGGCCCACUUUGAUGAAACUUGUUGGGCACAAUUAUUUAUUGGGCUGAGAUGAGGCCCGAAUUAUUGUAAUAGGCCUAAAAUUUUAAAGGGCUUUCUUGAGGCCCAUUAAUUUACAUUUAUGAAUGGGCCUAUUGUGGACUUUAAAUUGUAAUUAUUGGUCCCAAAAUUUUCUGGUUAAUAUGAGACCUAUCAAAAUUGUUUGAGUCUGAAUCUAAUCGGUUUCAAUUAUGAUUAGAAAUUUUUUUUUUUUCACUUCAAACAAUACGUUCACCCAAAAAAGGCCAGAUCUCUCUAGAUUGACAUUAGAAACCUCAUGAUGUUUUAAUAGGCAGAUCAAGAUGUAUGGAAUAAACUAGAACACUGACUAACUUGUACAUCCAUAUCGCGAUAAGAACUAGAAGCAUCAGAAACUUGUUUCAUGAACAUAAUGAGGAUAAAAAAAAAUUGGUUCUGAUAACAAGAAAGUAUUUUAAUAAUUUAAAGUAAUUUGAUUUAAGUUUUACCAAGCACACUAUUCUAACUAAGUAAUUUAGUAGCUCAAAAAUAGCCUACAACUACUGUAAUAUACCGAAACUUCGGUAAGCUAUAUCGGGCUUUAGCCAAAUUGGCCAAAGCGCUCGAAAGAAAUAGUUGGACAAGUUCCAUUUAACAUUUCAAUAAGGUUGGAAGGGUUAAAAGUGACUUCUUAAAGAGUUAGAAGGGUUUUAGCAUUGCUCGGCACAAAAGAGAAGUCGAACAAGUGCUAAACUGCAGUCUGGGCAUUUUGUACCGGUACAACAUCAGGGCAAUAUCGGUACACUUUUGUAAAACUCGAACAGCAGCUCUCGAGUUUGCCUCUGCGCGAUCGUGUUAUCGGUGACACCAUAACCUGUACCGGUACACUUUGGGUCUGACAGCAAAAAUAGUUCUGCUGCAAAUGUGAGUUUUUGGGGGGCCUAAAUGCAAUUAUAGCACCUCAUAAAACACCCCAACACCCCUCCCACCUGUUCAUAACAGCAAGCACCUUCUCCCCUCUCAUUCUCUCUUUCUCUCUCUAGAAACCCCCUCUCAAGGUGGAAAAGAGGAGAUCAAGAGGAGGAUUUGGAGAUUUUGGAGCUUUGGGAGGAUCUAGAGCUCACCUAUAAGGAGGAGCUUGUUGAGUUCAUGGGUCAAGGUAAGGUUUCUUGUAAGAUUGAUAUUAGGGUUUGGUUUUACACCCAAAAUCUUUUGGAUUUGAUCUUCUUACAAGAGUAGAAACCUUGUUGAAACCAUAGAACACAUGAAAACCAUGUUUUCUUCUCAUGCUCUCAUGGUGGAUUGCUAGGGUUUGUUCUAAAUGCCUUAGGAAUGGUUUGAGUGGCCUAGUAAUGGUUCUAGAUGAGUUUCUAGAUGAUUCUAAGCUUGUUUUAGCUUAGCAAAGAGAUCAAUCUAGCAUAUGUUGCUAAAUGACAUUGUUAAGACACCAAAAUUGGGGCUUUUGUCAUAAGUGGGUUUAAAUGUAAAUUGAACCUAUGUAAACCUAAUUGAAGGUAUUUUCAAGUCGGUUCGGCGAUUCGUCGAGCCUACGCGAAGAUAUUGAAGAAACGGUCGUUUUGGCUUCGUUUCUGCCUGGAGGGCCAAUGCGACGUCCAAAAAUCACGAGAAUGGAUCCGGAGGAUCGUAACAUCAAGUUAUAGACCUUUAAUUUCCGGAUUGUGGAUUGGUGGUCGUUUGGUGGUCGAGUGCGAGUUCGGGCCGAACCGGGCAACGGGUGCCGCGGGAGACCGAUUGCAAGUGACUACAAGCAAUCGGAAAGCGAUUUGAGGUGGGUUGUGCUCACCGAAGCGACUAGGUCGCCUUCAUGUCGAAGGAAAAUAUGGUUUCAUAUUGAUGCAUAUAGUGGUAGCUAGUAGUAAAAUAUAUGAAUGCAUGAGGUGAAUGCUAAGUAGGCUACCAAAGAAUGCAUGAUGACAUAAUGUGAAUAAUGCUAGUUUGAGAGCAUAAGAGAAAUGGCUUAUGCAUGUAAACAUUAUAAGAACAUGCUAGUCGGAAUGCAUAAUGGCAUGCUGCAGAGAAUGCUAAUUGAGAUGUGCAUGUUGUAAUAUAUGCUAGGUGAAAUGCAUAUUGAUAUAAGAUAAAAAUGCUAGAUAAUAUGCAAGUUGGCAAGUUGUAUAUUAUACUUGAUUCACAUGAGUUGAACAUAGGUCGAUAACUCUAGGUGUAUUAGAGAAUGCGACAUUGGAAAAUAAGAAUGUAUAAACUAUGAUACUCGAUGUGGACAAGUAGAGUGUCAAGUAGAUCGAGUGGCAUUGAACCUAGAGUUGUGAACCUAGGAUGGACAUGUGUGGCAUUUAACCUAGUGUUAAUAAACAUAGGUUGGACAAGAGUGGCAUUGAACCUAGUGUUAUUGAACAUAGGUUGGACAUGUGUGGCAUUUAACCUAGUGUUAAUAAACAUAGGUUGGACAAGAGUGGCAUUGAACCUAGUGUUAAAGAACAUAGGUUGAGAAUUGAAUCUAGAAUCAUGUAAACCUAGGUUACGAUAAAAGCAUUAAAUCUAGGUUCAAAUGGACCUAGGAUGGAAAGGACAUUGGACCUAGAUAGGUCGACACUAUAGGGUUAACACCAACCCUUGAGCUAUGUGAAAUGGAUUCCGAAAUCCCAUAACUUAUGGAUCACACCGAGAGGGGUGUGAGGUGUGUGUGACGAUUUCGCCGCCCAGGGCUAAACCAUUGACGAGGCGUGUGCGACGAUUUCGCUGCCGAAUGGUUAAGCUGGUUUGUGGAUUAUACUGCCGGUUGACUUGAGCCAUGGUUGGGCGUGUGCGACGAUUUCGCCGCCGUGUGGCUAAGUCAUGGAGCGCGGUAGGUUGUGGUUGGCUGAGGUGCAUGUGAGAUUUCCUUCACCUCGAGCCGGACAGAGCGCGGAUUAUCCGCAUUUGAUUGACUCAAGACCGAGUCAAGUGGCAUAGUGUGACUAAGGUAAGAGUAACCUUAGGAAAGAAUAGCUAAGAAUAAAGAAUGGCUAAGAAUAAAGAGUGGCUAAUAAGAAAGAAUUGCAAGUAGUAAAGAUUGGCUAACAAUAAAGAAUGGCAAAUGAUAGAGAGUAAAAUCAUUUAAUCUAUUUGCAUAGUUGCAUGAAUUUCAUAUUGCAUAUUGAGAGGCACAGUCAUGUGUUUUAAUAUUGCAUAAAAUACUUGUGGAUAUCUGUUGGACUAACAUGAUUGCAAUGCCUCCUUGGACCUAGUGGGUUGAGCUUUUCCCUUGGGUGGCUGUAUCCACCGGAAAUUAUGGACAAUAGUUCUCACCCCCGUGUUGUUUUUGGGGGUACAGGUUUACACGCGAGCGGCACGGCGGCGCGAGGAAAUGGCGUAGCUCCGUAGGUAGCGCCCUACCCCAGAGACUAGAGAUAGAAGUACCCCGAGUCGGCAUAGCUAGGGGUAUAAGAAUUGAAAGGAUCAAAAUGUAUCAAACUUGUAAAUAAGUAAAAGUUGUAAUAACUUGGAUUGCAUGUUUGGAAGUUAAAUGUAAUAUGUAAUUGAGAUGUAAAAGCUUGUAUGUGAAUGCUUGUAAUAGUUUAGCUGUUUAUAUUUUUGAUACUUUCUUAUGCAAUCUGUAUGUUCCUGGUUGGAACCUUUGAGUACUGUUCCUGGUUGGAACCUUUGUAUUGUAUUGAUUGCGACGCCUAGGACAUACAGAGGAAACUCUGUCCGUUCGGCGGUCUGUCGGCGUACCCGAACACAACCAAAUAGGCGGGGCACAGGGCGUGACAACUACAUACCAAAAAACUUCAGUAAGUAAAACUCUCUUACCUUUCCCUGGGAUCGAGAACAACAAGAUAUCGCCGCUACUAAAUCGCUGCUACAUUAGAGUAAAAGAUCUUUUAUUUUAAAAGCAAAACAUAAACAAAUUAAUCACUUCUUCCUCCUUAGUAGGAAAAAAAAAUAAAAAAAAUAGAGAUCUCUACGUUAAAUCACACACAAACCUAACACAAACUCUCGACAUCUAAUCUAACUUUCUCUCUACGGGGUUUAAUAUGCACUUUACUAAAUCAAUUAAUCCUACAAACACCAGUCAAAGCUCUAAAUCCUCAGAUACGAUUUUUACCCCAAAUUCUGGACCAAAAAACAAAUUCUAACCGUAGGAAAUAAAAAUUUCUCCAAAUCACUCGAAUAAAUCAGACAUUCGAGUCAUUUAUUUGGGAUUUAAUCGACUAAAAUCGCCAAAAGGAGCAAAUGCAUACGAUUUCCCGCCUAGAGGAGAUGGGGGGGACUUGUCACUUCUACUACCCCCUGACUCCUCACAACCCCCUAAAAAGCAAACGUGCUAAGCUAUUAUCAGUUUAUCUCUAUCAUCUAAAGAUACAAUCAAAGAUCAUAGGUUUUAAAGAGAAUAGAUAGUAUUAAAGUUUGCUGUUGACAAUUCAAACAGUCCCAAGGAGCUUGUACAAAGUUCUAUUGCUUAUCUCAAUGGAAAAAGAUAGCAUAGCAUUAAAUGGAUAUUAGUUUAAAUGCAACACUUCAGACGAUGUACUAACCCAAAACUUAGAAAUUUCAGUAGGCAAAAUUUAGAAUACUAACCUUCAACUCUUGCGAUCAAUCACAAAGUCUGCAUUUGGGCCAUAAAGCUGAAAGUCAAAACAGAAUCAGCAGCACUGUUUUCUCUCACGGAUACUUUUGGCACUGAAGAAAUGAAGACCAAAUAGUUACACAUGAUGCAAUUACAGUGAUCUACGUUCUGAUUUUUCAUCUAGCAUUGGAAAAGCUAUAUAAAAGUUGAAAUAGAGAUUGAUUCAAAUUAAAAAAAAAAAAUCUGACACCCCUACGCUUUUCUGAGGAAAUCCAAAACGGUAACAUGAAGAGCCCAUUUUAUUCCUACCGCCAGUUAUACUUGAUCUCUUUUUUAGUGCAAUAGUAGAGUACUUUCUACUUAACAGAUUUUUACAAGCAAGCAAACUAAUUUGGCAGAAAUUAGUUGGAUUUGAUUGCUUUUGACAUCUAAAUAGCAAGCAUAAUUUCUCAGAAACUCAAUAGCAGAGUGAAAAAACCAGCUAUAUUACUUGAUUAAAGAACACAAAAUCAAAAUUUUACUCCAAAAUUAUGUUUUCUUUCUACAAGUGCCGCCAAGUACACACUCCAAAGGAACUUGAACAGAGGCCUUUUGUACCAUUUCUCAUCUAUGGUAACAUCUCAACUUGUUUGGUGCCUCCAUUACUUUCCAAAUAACUCAAAAAAGACUAUAGCUUGACUCAAACUGGUGUUACCCUCCUAGAGAGCCAAAUUGUGAAGCUCGUAAGCACAAGGCAAGUCGUGUACGGGUGGCCCUUCUUGUUUCUUUCCAUUAUUUUUCUUGCCAAAGAAACCUGCUUGCCCACAGCAAACACAUAGGCCUUGCCUAUGCCUCCGGCACCUCGAGCCGUCCACCCGACAUGGCGGAUGCACUCGCUCAGAUCACGAGGCAAGUCGAAGAGCACCACAUGGUUCACGUUCGCAAAAUCUAUGCCUCGCGAGGCUCUGCCAGAUGUAUGUAGUCCAAUCCCAGUUAACAGAAGCAACCAAGAUAUCACAAAAAUAACAAAUGCUCUAUAAAAUUAGAUGGAAAGAAGAAAUGUGUGCAGUAAGAAAAAAAUACGUUACAGAAAGAUUUACUAUGUAUAUAGUGUAAACUGCCGGCCAUAAAAAACAUGAAACACACACACAGAAAAUAAAUAAAGAUCAAGAUAACUAGUAUAUUCCUUGACGUGAUACCUGUUUGUGCAGAUGAGGAACAUUGAAUCUACCAAUUGUGAGUUAAGAAACUCCUUAAUGUUAGCAAGGUGCAUUUCCUGUGCCAGUGCAACAUGGAAAGGCAGAAUUUUGAUGUGUGACCCUUUUCUAUCAAAUCUGUUCAACACAUUCUCAACCUUUCUGCAGGUCUCAAUCUACACAUACAACAAACAACUGUCAUUACACAACCUAUAAAGCAGGGACAUAAAAUAGGAAGCUUUUACAACCCUUUUCUUCCAUCGCGCAAUACACACCGCCGAGCCCAGUGGGAACCACCACAAAUCAUGCAUCCUGGGGAGGACCGGGUAGAGGACGACUUCGAGUGGCGCCUAGAACUUGAUUGUCCGCCCGAACCCCUCGACAGUGGCCUCACCUCUACCCGCUCACGUUCAGAAGACUCGUGCUCCUCACGCACGAAAGCCUCGCCGUGCUCUGCCGGCAACGCUCGAUCCAACACCUCCGCGAAGGUUGUGAGCUUGAAGAUUUGCACCUUCUUAUAAAUCUCUGGUCGAAGUCCAUGCAGGAACCAAUCGGCCAUAUCCUUGUCAUCCCGUACCACAUCCAGGACACAAUUCACGAUGUGGGAAAACUCCCAUUCGUAUUCCCUAACAGAGCGGUCUCUUUGCCGUAGCUUCCUGAACCUAUCCUGAAGCUUUCUCUUUUCACUAUCGGGGAAGUAAGUUGAAAACACCAAUCCUCGAAACUCAUCCCAUGCCAUAGGAGGGAGACUAGGCGAUCGAUUCCGUCGAAUGCCUUUCCACCACACCUUUGUCGACAACUUCAAACAGUGCACGGCUAUGGGCACCUUGUCCCGCUCUAAGGUGCACAGCUCCUCGAAGAGCGUUUCUAUAGAGUCAAUCCACAUCUCCAAGAUCCACGGAUCGACAUUCUCUCCAUCGAAGAUAGGCAGAUCAAAUUUCUUGAAAGCCAUGAGAGCCGCCAAAGCUCGUUCCCUCUCCGCCUCCACCUCUACGAUGUCGGGAGUGGGAUUGCCCGACCCUGACGAAAACAUCUCCGCCGUGACUCCCGGCCGUCCUUGACGAGCUGCAGCUGGUGCUGCCACCAGCUGAUCCACCGUCUCUUGGAGUCUUUUCAUCCGCUCCUCCUGGCGCAUAGCAGCCUCCUGCUGCCGCUGCACCACAUCAGCCUGUUACCUCACCACUCCAAUGUGAGUGGCCAACUGAUCACGAAGCUCCGAGUCUCCGCUUGCGUCGGUUUGCUCGGGGACACCACUUGUCCCCUCCCGCGCUGAUCUAGAUGAAGAUCGCCUACGCGGUGCCAUCAUUUCCUGAAACAAGACAACUCGAUUAAUUCUCAACCUUCUAGGUCGAGCACGAAACAAUUUAACAUUGACUCAAAUCGGGCGAAAGUCAUGCAAGGGCGUAUAUUCUCAUCACUCGAUUUCAUGUUGUUGCACGCCCAACAUGAACACCCUUGGGUUGAGAAUAAACCACACCUCGAGUCUACCUCUAAUAUCCGUCUUAGAGGUUUACAACACAACCCAAUCAAUUAACCUUUCGCCAUAAGUCGCAAGUCCUCGUCUCUUACGAGUCUUAUUCUCCUAUGGUUUUCUAUUCUAGGGUCUUCUAGGUCUGCCUAAACCAUUCCCAUUCUCUACUUUAUGCUCUGAUACCACCUUCUGUCACGCCCCGAGCCCCACGCCUAUUUGGCCGGGUUCGCACCGCCGACAGCACCGAACGGACAAGGUUUUUCCUGUACCACGGACAGAGUCUCCCCUGACCGUUCAAGGCUCAACAAACAGUACAAUACAAAAAGUUCCAAACAGGAACAUUAUUCGUACAAUGAUUGCAUAAGGAAGGUAUCAAACAACAUAACACAUCCUAUGUUAUUACAAGCAUUCCCAUUAGAUUCAUUUUUACAUCACACUCACAUAAUACAUUUUAUGACUUCCAAAUACAAUCAAGUUACUACAUCAUUUGUUUACAAGUUUUAGUACAUCUUGUUUUUUUCAUUUCCCUCUACCCCUAGGCUAUGCCGACUCGGGGUACCGCUAUCUCUGGUCUCUAGGGCAGGGCGCUAUCUAUGGAGCUACCCCCUUGCCUCGCGCCGCCGCGCCGCUCACGUGCGAACCUGUAACACCCCAAAACAACGUGGGGUGAGAACUAACUCCAUAGUUUCAAGUGGGUACGGCCACCCAAGGGAGAAGCUCGACCAAUAGGUCCAAGGAGGCACUGCAAUCAUGUUAGUCCAGAAACAUCUACAGAUAUAUAUAUAUAUCAUCAUGUAAUAUGCAACUAACAGAUAUCAUGCCUCGCAAUAUGCAAUAUGAAUAUAUGCAAUCAACUAGUAGAUCUAUUGAUUCUACGUUCAACUUUGCUAUCUUUAGCUCAUAUCAUUCAAUUCUAAGGUUUCUACUAUCUUAGGUUCUCAACUCAAGUCCAACUUUCUUCUAAGGUCUCUAUUACCUCAGCUCUUGCCUCUAUCACUAGCUUUCAAGGUUUCUACUACCUCUAUCAAGCUAGCCACCCGACUCGGCCUCGAGUCAAUCAUCCACGGAUAGUUCGCGCACUGGCUGCACCUCAGCCUGGCUGCCGUCACAGCCUACCGCACCUCUGACUUAGCCAUCUUGCGGUGAACUCAUCGCAUCUCACCCAACAACGACUCAAGUCAUGACUUAGCCAUCUGGCAUCGAACUUAUCUCAUCUCACCCAACAAUGGUUCAAGUCAUGUCUUAGUCAUCUGGCGGCGAACUCAUCGCCCUUACCCAGCAAUGGUUCAAGUCAAUCUAGGCGGCAUCAUUCAAUAAGCUAAAUGGGCGAGGAGAACCACACAUACCCAUUUCAAUCUUAUUCUCAUGGCAUCCCGGGCGAGGAGAACCACACAUACCCGUUGAAUCACUGCCAGGUGAGGAGAACUACACAUACCUGCAGUUAUGAUUCGCUUGCCAUGUAGCACACUGGACCGUUGCAAAUUGCGAGGUUCGAGUGUUUGAUUUGUAUUCCAAGCUUUUCCACACUUGGUGGAGGGCCGUCGAUGGUACACCGGCCUAAAAGUUCGAUCUCGAGAGUUCUGGCAGAGUCCUGAGAAUUUUUACUCUCGGGGACCGGUCCCUGAUAGGAGAGACCGGUCCCCCAGUGAACAGUGCUGCGCAGCCGGCCAGGUAACCGGUCCCUGGCAGUCGAGACCGGUCCCCGAGCGCGUCUUCGCGGGGAGAGACCGGUCCCGUGCANCUACGAACGUGUCUCACGUCUCGUCUCUACUCUCACCGCCUGCGAUACCUGAAAAAUGGUGGGGGAGGUGAGAACAUGUAAACAUGUCUCCCCUCCCAGUGGGUACCGCAAGCCGACGAAGGCGAGAAGUACUCACCGGAUCAGGAAGAGAUAAGCAACAAUAUGGUAAACAAAUAUACAUGCCGAUACGAAGAAACUACAGUAGCUAUAACAGAUAAAUGAGCAAUAAACAAAACUGCUACUGUAAGGAAUGCAAUGCUGAGUAUGCCUCAAGGUAACCAAACCAAAACUGUACCCAAUCUGGUGCCUACUAUAUUGGUCUGCAGACCUCAAGCGCUGCCUAUCACUGAUCUUUACCGACCUGAUUCACCCGCCCCACAGGACGACCCAUCCGGAUAAGCACACCUCCGGUCGGUGGCCAAACUGACCCGGUGUCGUGAAUACCCCCAAGUGUUGUGACUAAGUCAUGCUGGUACGCUCAAUACAAAAACCGGCUGAAGCCGGUGCCUAAGCAGAAGCCAGAAACAAGGGCGUACAACGCCGAAUCUCGAUCAACCAGAUCGAAACACAUGACGAGAGAGUCGAUGUGUUGCCUGGACCCAAAGUCCACAGAGUCCAACCGACCAGCAAGGUCACUGAUACGAAGUACGAGAACCGACCAACCAGGUCAACAGAUACGGAAUGCAACAACCGACCAACCAUGUCAACAGAUACGAAAUGCAACAACCGACCAACCAGGUCAACAGAUACGCAUAUAGAUAGAACAACUCUACUCCUACUCAGGAUACUAAGCUUGCAAACAACGAGCAGAGUAUAAUGGAAUAACAUGGGUGCAAGGCUCAAUAUAUACUAUGCAAUAGUAACAACAGAAGAGUAAGGGUAAGAAACCAUCACCAAGCGUGCACCACUGUACCGACUUUGGAUCGAAGUACCCACCUAUACUAGUGUCGCACCUGUCUCCCAACCGUACGCGAUCAUCAACCGAACCUACGAAGGUCCACCAGGUCAGUAACCAACCCACUAACCCAAAGUACGAGACUCGCAAACCCCCACACAAGUCUCCGAAUCGGUUUCCCAAAACUGAUCACCGUAACUCACCAGAGGUCCCGAAAACCACACGGAGACGCCGUUGGGACCCACUAAGUGACCCGAAACUCACCGACUCGUGUCACGAGUCACCCGCUGCCACAAAACACUCUGAUUUGGAUGUCUUGGCAGCAAACAAAAGAUAACAUAACCAAACAAUUGUCGUCGGAUAAUUGUUCGAAUCCGGGUUCCAGGAAGUGUCUAUUUUGACACUGGAACCCACUGUCGCUCACCCGUCAUAAUUGAACCCACAAAAUGAUGAUGGUGACCAGCCAACAAGGCUCAUCGACAAAUCAUAGGACAACCAAACCACGUCGGAAGAAAUCCGAAUCGAAUCCGCGUUCUUUCGGCGAAUUUCGCCAAAAAACGCACCGAAAUCGACUCAUCGAUUUCCGCGAAGGCUAUCGGAUCAUGGACAAUCAGUCCAUAGGUCACCAAACACACAUACACACUACCCACAGUAGCCACAAGGUGCACAAAUGCAUAAAAGCCCCUCAAUUUACAUAAAAUCCUAUCAUUUUAUGUAAAUCGGGCGAUUAAGUGGCUCGUUCACGCAAACCGAGAACUUCUAAGUUCUGCCGAGACACGUACUGCUUGGUCUCGACGUACCGGAGGCCGUGCUCAUGAUUCGGAGCACAACAGCUCACUGUGGGAAGCGCGGGAGCAACCCGAAGGUUUAGCGAACAGCGCGCAGUCGGGGAAAAACGCGCCGAACAGAACUAACUGGACUUCGUUGAUCCAAAGUGAUGUGAGCACUGUGAUCGAAACUGACCAACAAUCACCAUGCUCACCUCCGAAGGCAUCGGAACAGCCUCGGAUCGCCGGAACAACGUGCGCAAACACCAAACAGUAGCCAAACAGGCUCAAACGGAGCAACACCGCCGAAACAGCCAAACGGAGUCUCCCCGACAAAAUCUAAGGUGAGCACGAUGAUCCAAAAUUUUCCAUGAUCAUCGUGCUCCCUUCCGGAGAGAUCGGGGAGCCUCGGAUAGCUCAUAACAGUAAACCUACCAAGAAAAACCCUAUUUCGGGCUUGGCCGGAGCAGGCUUGCUCCGGCCGGCUUCCGGCGGCACGGGAAGGUGCGCGCGGGCCAGAAGUGGGUGCGGGGGAGGGAAGGAGCAAGGUGCUCACCACAGAUGGUAGCGAGGAGUGGCGGCGGCGACGGUGGAGCAAGCCAAGCCCCGCACGAGUUGAGCUCGGGUACCACGGCUGCUGCGACCACUGCGGCGGCUGGGGCAAGUCGGGGAUGACGGUGGGGGGUGCCCAGUGGCCGGAGGAGUGCCUCGGGUGCGGCCCCGAGCGGCGGCGUCGCGAGGAGGGAGCCGCGAUCAAACCUCGGCCUGGCUCGGCCUGGUAGGCUGCAACGAGCACGGGCGGCGGCGGCGGCCACUAGCAACGCCGGUGGCAGCGCGCGUGGGUCUCCGGGGCUCCAGGGGAGGUGGCCGGGAUGGUCCAGCCGGCGGCAGCGUGGGGAAGAAGCCGCAGUCUUGCCUCUGCUUGGGCUCUGCCUGGGGGGCUGCGGUCGGCAGGGGAACAGAGGUGAAGGUGGCAGGGUGCGGCUAGGGUAGUUGGGGGCUCAAUUGAUCCCAAGAAAAACCCUAGAAAACAUUAUAUAUAGGCNUUUAUGGUUCAUGGGAUUUGGUCCAUGAGGUUUGGUUUUGGUUCAUGGCAUUUGGUCAAUGAGGUUUGGUUUUGGUUCAUGGGAUUUGGUCCAUGAGGUUUGGUUUUGUCUCAUAGGAUUUGAUCCAUGAGGUUUGGUUUUGGUUCAUGGCAUUUGGUCCAUGAGGUUUGGUUUGGUAUGGUUUGGAUUUGAUUCUUGUUUGUGUCCUUCAUGUGGACUUAGUUUGGGUUAGGUUUGGGUUUGAUUUGUGGACUUGGUUUGGUUUGGAUUUGGGUUUAUUUGGGUUCAAGUUUGGGUUUAUUUGUGGGUUUAUUUGUGGGCUUUGUUUGGUUUGGAUUUGGGUUUAUUUGGAUUCAACUUUGGGUUUAUUUGUGGAUUUAUUUGGGGACUUGGUUUGGUUUGGAUUUGGGUUUAUUUGGGUUCAAGUUUGGGUUUAUUUGUGGGUUUAUUUGUGGACUAGGUUUGGUUUGGAUUUGGGUUUAUUUGGGUUCAAGUUUGGGUUUAUUUGUAGGUUUAUUUGUGGACUUGGUUUGGUU
rnacentral:lncRNA from 1 species